rnacentral:rRNA from 1 species
GAAUAUUGGACAAUGGGCGCAAGCCUGAUCCAGCAAUGCCGCGUGAGUGAUGAAGGCCUUAGGGUUGUAAAGCUCUUUCGCCCGCGACGAUGAUGACGGUAGCGGGAGAAGAAGCCCCGGCUAACUCCGUGCCAGCAGCCGCGGUAAUACGGAGGGGGCUAGCGUUGUUCGGAAUUACUGGGCGUAAAGGGCGCGCAGGCGGCUGCUCAAGUCAGGCGUGAAAGGCCUGGGCUCAACCCGGGAAUUGCGCUUGAGACUGGGCUGGCUUGAGUGCGGGAGAGGAUGGUGGAAUUCCCAGUGUAGAGGUGAAAUUCGUAGAUAUUGGGAAGAACACCGGUGGCGAAGGCGGCCAUCUGGACCGCAACUGACGCUGAGGCGCGAAAGCGUGGGGAGCAAACAG